GACGAACGCGGGCGGCGUGCUUAAUACAUGCAAGUAGAACGCUGAAGGGAGGAGCUUGCUCUUCUGGGAUGAGUUGCGAACGGGUGAGUAACGCGUAGGUAACCUGCCUUGUAGCGGGGGAUAACUAUUGGAAACGAUAGCUAAUACCGCAUAACAAUGGAUGACCCAUGCCAUUUAUUUGAAAGGGGCAAAUGCUCCACUACAAGAUGGACCUGCGUUGUAUUAGCUAGUAGGUGAGGUAACGGCUCACCUAGGCGACGAUACAUAGCCGACCUGAGAGGGUGAUCGGCCACACUGGGACUGAGACACGGCCCAGACUCCUACGGGAGGCAGCAGUAGGGAAUCUUCGGCAAUGGGGGCAACCCUGACCGAGCAACGCCGCGUGAGUGAAGAAGGUUUUCGGAUCGUAAAGCUCUGUUGUAAGUCAAGAACGAGUGUGAGAGUGGAAAGUUCACACUGGACGGAGCUACCAGAAAGG
rnacentral:rRNA from 1 species